rnacentral:rRNA from 1 species
GACGUAGGGCGCGAGCGUUGUCCGGAUUUACUGGGCGUAAAGAGCGCGUAGGCGGCUCGGUAAGUGUGAAGCUAAAUCUCUGGGCUCAACCCAGAAACUAUUUCGCAUACUGCCAAGCUGGAGUGAUGAAGAGGUUUGUGGAAUUCCUGGUGUAGCGGUGAAAUGCGCAGAUAUCGGGAAGAACACCCGUGGCGAAGGCGGCUCUCUGGGACGGUACUGACGCUGAGACGCGAAAGCGUGGGGAGCGAACAGG